rnacentral:misc_RNA from 1 species
UUAAGUUCAGCGGGUAUUCCUACCUGAUCCGAGGUCAACCUGAGAAAAUUGGUUAAAGACCGGGUCAAAAGGCUUCUAACAUGCGUGCUAAUGAAAGCUCGUUGCAUCUAGGGUCCAAUUGACGCCGUCAUUAUCUUUGGAACCUGUCUGUUAACGACAAGAGGUCCAACAGCAAGCCAGGCUUGAUUAGUGAUAAUGAC